rnacentral:rRNA from 1 species
AUUGAACGCUGGCGGCAGGCCUAACACAUGCAAGUCGAACGAGUGGCGGACGGGUGAGUAAUGUCUGGGAAACUGCCUGAUGGAGUGGGAUAACUACUGGAAACGGUAGCUAAUACCGCAUACCAUCGGAUGUGCCCAGAUGGGAUUAGCUAGUAGGUGGGGUAACGGCUCACCUAGGCGACGAUCCCUAGCUGGUCUGCGAGGAUGACCAGACAGACAGGACCGGAGAAACGGUCCAGACUCGUACGGGAGGCAGCAGUGGGGACUAUUGCACAAUGGGCGCAAGCCGGAUGCAGGCAUGCGGCGUGUAUGAAGAAGGCCUGGGGGUUGUAAAGUACUUUCAGCGGGGAGGCGUUACCCGCAGAAGAAGCACCGGCUAACUCCGUGCGAGCAGCCGCGGUAAUAC